UAUAUAUAUAUAUAUAUAUAUAUAUAUUGAGAGAGAGAGAGAGAGAGAUGGUGAAAGCAACCAACGUUCUUUCUUUCUUCUCUGCGUAUAGUUAAUAUGGGAGAGAAGAAGCUACCUACAGACUACAGUGAUGUGAAACGGGUGGGGCAGUCAACUGGGGCCCCGAUACGUACUCGCCCCGACACUGUUUCCAUCAAAUCGGAUGAUCCGUCAUUUUCUUUGCAUUUAUGCAUAUACCACCUCCCUUUUAUUUUUUAUGGCAUAAAAUUCAUUCAAAUAAAAAAUGAUACUCCGUA